rnacentral:misc_RNA from 1 species
UAUCACCUUUUUUUUUUUGUCUUUGUAAGUUAUAAAUUUAUCUACUUUAUUAUUAUUAUGUUAUCUUGGUGGUUUGGGGUAGGUGGUACCUAAUAGGCAUAGAUCCAUCAACAUUUCUUUUUAAUCCGAGAAAGUGUCUUUAGUUUGGAACUUGUUGCAAUGGAGCUUUGGAAAUUGUAGUUCCUGAGGUUUUGUUUGUCUGUGCUCUAGAAUUCCAAUUCAUAUGUUCUUAUGCAAGAAUAUAUGAUUUUGCAGCUUGUUUUGAGCACUGGAAGUGGUGUUAAUGGCUUCACCCUUGAUCCAUCCCUUGGG